rnacentral:rRNA from 1 species
CGAGGGGCAGCGGGGUUGUAGCAAUACAACUGCCGGCGACCGGCGCACGGGUGAGUAACACGUAUGUAACCUGCCCUCUGCAGGGGGAUAAGCGGAAGAAAUUCCGUCUAAUACCGCAUAAUACAAUUUGGAGACAUCUCCGGGUUGUCAAAGGAGUGAUCCGGCAGAGGAUGGACAUGCGGCGCAUUAGCUAGUCGGCGGGGUAACGGCCCACCGAGGCUACGAUGCGUAGGGGUUCUGAGAGGAAGGUCCCCCACACUGGUACUGAGACACGGACCAGACUCCUACGGGAGGCAGCAGUGAGGAAUAUUGGUCAAUGGGCGGAAGCCUGAACCAGCCAAGUCGCGUGAGGGAAGACGGUCCUAUGGAUUGUAAACCUCUUUUGCAGGGGAGCAAGGCGCGGUACGUGUACCGCGAAGGAGAGUACCCUGAGAAAAAGCAUCGGCUAACUCCGUGCCAGCAGCCGCGGUAAUACGGAGGAUGCGAGCGUUAUCCGGAUUUAUUGGGUUUAAAGGGUGCGCAGGCGGACUGUUAAGUCAGCGGUAAAAUGUCGGUGCUCAACACCGGCCGGCCGUUGAAACUGGCAGCCUUGAGUGAGCGAGAAGUAUGCGGAAUGCGUGGUGUAGCGGUGAAAUGCAUAGAUAU